rnacentral:tRNA from 1 species
GGGCUCGUGGUUUAGUGGUAUAAUACUCCCUUAGCAUCCUUGGAUGGGAGUGGUCCGGGGUUCGAUUCCCCGCGAGUCCA